rnacentral:tRNA from 1 species
GGAGGGAUGCUCGAGCGGCCGAAGAGGACGGCUUGCUAAGCCGUUGCCGGGGCUAAAACCUCGGCCGCGGGUUCGAAUCCCGCUCCCUCCG